rnacentral:lncRNA from 1 species
UAACUUUUACAUAGCACACUCCCUCACACACUCACCAAAACCCUAGCCACCCUUACCCCUUCCAACAGCAGAACAAAAGAAUAGAAAAGGAAAAGAGAAGAGGGGGAGAACCGGAGAGGGAAGAGAAGAAGAAGGAAGGGAGGUGGCGCCGGUGGGUGUCACUGCCACCGUCGCUGCCGUGGUGUCAUCGCGAGGAAGGCCAGAACCGAGGGAGAGAGAGCCGCGCAAGGAGAAGGAGGCGUCACCGUCUCGUGUCGCCGUCGUCACCGUCGAGGUCUUCAUCGUUGCCGUCCAUGGAGGUUUGCAAACAGAGGGAAGACGCGCCGUUCUACCCAGAGCCGCCACGGGAAGGGUCGUUGCCGUCAAGCCCAGCCACCAUUGCGGCCGUUC